rnacentral:rRNA from 1 species
UUGACCUCGAAUCAGGCAGGAAUACCCGCUGAACUUAAGCAUAUCAAUAAGCGGAGGAAAAGAAACCAACCGGGAUUACCUCAGUAACGGCGAGUGAAGCGGCAAGCUCAAAUUUGAAAUCUGGCUCCUUUGGAGCCCGAGUUGUAAUUUGUAGAAGACGCUUUGGGUUGUGGGCUUGGCCUAAGUUCCUUGGAACAGGACGUCAUAGAGGGUGAGAAUCCCGUAUGUGGUCGAGACCCUACGCCUAUGUAAAGCUCUUUCGACGAGUCGAGUUGUUUGGGAAUGCAGCUCAAAAUGGGUGGUAAAUUUCAUCUAAAGCUAAAUAUUGGCCAGAGACCGAUAGCGCACAAGUAGAGUGAUCGAAAGAUGAAAAGCACUUUGGAAAGAGAGUUAAAUAGUACGUGAAAUUGUUGAAAGGGAAGCGCUUGCACCCAGACUUGGGCGUUGUUGAUCAUCCGAGGUUCUGCCUCGGUGCACUCGACAAUGUGCAGGCCAGCAUCGGUUUGACUGGCUGGACAAAGGUCCUAGGAACGUAACUCCUCGCGGGGAGUGUUAUAGCCUAGGGCGUCAUGCAGCCCAGUCGGACCGAGGACCGCGCCUUUUGGGCUAGGAUGCUGGCGUAAUGGGUGUAAGCGACCCGUCUUGAAACACGGACCAAGGAGUCUAACAUCUAUGCGAGUGUUUGGGCGUUAAACCCAUACGCGGAAUGAAAGUGAACGUAGGUGAGAACCCGUUUAGGGUGCAUCAUCGACCGAUCCUGAUGUCUUCGGAUGGAUUUGAGUAAGAGCAUAGCUGUUGGGACCCGAAAGAUGGUGAACUAUGCCUGAAUAGGGUGAAGCCAGAGGAAACUCUGGUGGAGGCUCGCAGCGGUUCUGACGUGCAAAUCGAUCGUCAAAUUUGGGUAUAGGGGCGAAAGACUAAUCGAACCAU